rnacentral:rRNA from 1 species
UACAGAGGUCUCAAGCGUUGUUCGGAUUCAUUGGGCGUAAAGGGUGCGUAGGUGGCGGGGUAAGUCAGGUGUGAAAUCUCGGGGCUCAACCCCGAAACUGCACUUGAUACUGCCUUGCUCGAGUACUGGAGAGGAGAUUGGAAUUUACGGUGUAGCAGUGAAAUGCGUAGAGAUCGGGAGGAACACCGGUGGCGAAGGCGGGUCUCUGGGCAUCUCCUGACGCUGAGGCGCGAAAGCGUGGGGAGCAAACGGG